rnacentral:rRNA from 1 species
ACCCGUUGAUCCUGCGGGAGGUUGCUGCUAUUGGAAUUCGACUUAGCCAUGCAAGUCCAGGUUCCGCAAGGGACCGGCAGAAUGCUCAGUAACACGUCGUUAAUCUGCCCUUAGGUCAGGGAUAACCUCGGGAAACUGAGGAUAAUACCUGAUAUGGAGUUUGUUCUGGAAUGAUAUUCUCCUGAAAGAUUACGCCUAAGGAUGAGACGGCGCCUGAUUAGGCUGUUGGCGGGGUAACGGCCCACCAAACCUAGUAUCCGUACGGGCCUUGAAAGAGGGAACCCGGAGAAGGACACUUAGACACUGGUCUUAGCCCUACGGGGUGCAGCAGGCGCGAAACCUUUACAAUGCACGAAAGUGUGAUAAGGGGAUUCCAAGUGCUCAUGCAAAGCAUGGGCUUUUGCCAUAUGUAAAUAAUAUGGCGAAUAAGGGGUGGGUAAGACUGGUGCCAGCCGCCGCGGUAACACCAGCGCCCCAAGUGGGAACCAGCAUUAUUGGGCCUAAAGUGUUCGUAGCCGGAAUGAUAAAUCUUCUGUGAAAUUGUUGGGCUUAACCUAACAACGUGCAGGAGACACUGUUAUUCUUGGGACCGGGAGGAGUCAGAGGUAUUCCGGGGGGAGCGGUAAAAUGCAGUAAUCCCUGGAGGACCACCUGUGGCGAAGGCGUCUGACUAGAACGGAUCCGACGGUGAGGGACGAAAGCUAGGGGAGCAAACCGGAUUAGAUACCCGAGUAGUCCUAGCUGUAAACGCUGCGAGCAAGGUGUUGCAUGAUCCUGUGAUCAUGCAGUGUCGAAACGAAGGUGUUAAGCUCGCCGCCUGGGUAGUACGGUCGCAAGGCUGAAACUUAAAGGAAUUGGCGGGGGAGCACUACAAGGGGUGCGGCGUGCGGUUUAAUCUAACUCAACGCAGAGAAUCUCACUAGGGGCGACGGCUGGAUGAAAGUCAGGUUGAAGGCCUUACUUGACUAGCCGAGAGGUAGCGCAUGGCCGCCGUCAGCUCGUGCUGCGAGGUGUCCAGUUAAGUCUGGUAACGAGCGAGACCCACAUCUUCAAUUGCUAACAGGUACCUAGUAUGACUGAGCACAUUGAAGGGACUGCCCGGGAAACUGGGAGGAAGGCGUGGGCAACGGUAGGUCUGUAUGCUCCGAAUCUCCUGGGCUACACGCGCGCAACAAUGGUAGGAACAAUGGGAUGCAACACCGAAAGGUGGAGCUAAGCCUCGAAAUCCUAUCUUAGUUUAGAUUGAGGGUUGUAACUCACCCUCAUGACACUGGAAUCCCUAGUAAUCGGGUUUCAUCACGGCCCGGUGAAUAUGUCCCUGCUCCUUGCACACACCGCCCGUCAAAUCAACCGAACAGGGCUUGGGUGAGUGCUAUCUUCAGGAUAGCCCGAACCUAAGCUCAGUGAGGUGGGUCAAGUCGUCACAAGGUA